AUGUAAAGGAUUUAAUUAACAGCUUGUGCAAGGACAUUUCUGUAAAUUAUUUUAUUAUUAGUGAGGUUUAAUUACACAAAGGAAUAAAGGAUGGAGAUGAUCAUGCCAGCCCAUCGCAUUCCACGUUACUCGGAACAAAAUGUUUGAGAAAUAUUAAACAAAAACAAAUAAUUGAGCUUUCGCAGACAGCAUCAUGAUAUUGAUCAACACUCCAACGCCAGUUAUCAAAAGUUCUAUCAUUUUUAUUUUGCACAUGCGCCUCACAAAAAGUUUAAAAAUAAACCCAAUUCAAUAUUCCUUCACUUCGGCUUCUUUGUUCCUCCGAAACGUCCAUAUAUGACCAAAAAUGGGUCCAUAAUUAAAUUUUUGAUUUCUUAACGAUUCUGGUUUGGAAAUUAGAAAAUCAUAUCCAAAUUUGGAAAGCGAAAAUGAAAACUUCAGGCUUUGUUGUAGUAGGAACAUAAAAAGUCAAUAAAAGUGGGCAGUGAGCUGAAAGUAGAAGAUGCGAGAAUCAUCCCAUAUCAUAUCAUUAAUCCUGCAGUGGGGCCACGAAAAGCAAGAGAAUAAAAAUGCUGGUGUCGUAAAUCCUAUGUUGGACAGUGUGGUUAGAAUUGAAGUUAGGUAGUCGUAAUUUUUAAGGUGUAGUAUUAAAAUAUUUAAUAAAUAAAAAAUUAUUAUAAUUUAAAAAAUAUAUUAAUAUAAUUUUUUAUUUAUAUAAUAAAAAAUUUAUUAUAUAUUUAAUAAUUUUAUUAAAAUUAUUAUUUAAAAUUUAUAUUUACUGUAUAUUAUUAAUUUAUAUUUCAUAAUUAUAAUUUUUUUUUACAACAACUGUAAUUUAAAAAAUACAAUAUCUUAAUCCCAAACAAUACCUUAGUCCAACAAUAGAGCCAUGAAAAGUCGAAGAAGAAAUGCUGGUGGCGGAAAUACUGUGGUAAGAUUAUUAGUCCUGCAGUAAGGUCAUGAAUAAACUCAAAAAGAAAGGACAAGAGCCAUGAAUCAUAAAGCCCAUAACGCCUGUAGCAAAACCACAAGUCCAAGGUCUGAAUGCAAGAUCAUGGUCUAUGUAAAAUGUUAGGAAAUUGAGUUUCCUCCCAAGAUCAUUCUAAGUAAUUUGUCAAGUAAUAAAUUAAUAGAAAAAAUUAAAUAGAUAAUAUACCAAUUACACAACAUAAAAUUUACGUGAAAAACUUUAAAUCCGGAGAAAAAUCACUGCUGUUGUCACAAGACAACUAGAGAAAAAUAUUUACUAUGUGAAAAUUUAUUACAACCAAUCUCAGAAAUAAUUUUCUCUCACCCAAGCCCCAAAUACAUAAUCCAGAGAAAUAUCCCUUAAAAAAGUAAAUCCGUAAUACACAUACUGAGGAGCCAAAUGCUCAUUCAAUACAUCUACAUGCUUAAGAAUAUUUAUCUCCUCUCAAUUUGAAUUGCUUCUUUCCAUGGCCAACAUUUCAUGACCAUUUUCUUGAGCAAAGCCGAAACAUCUUGCUUCUCUAGGAUUUUGGAUUGCUUCUCUGGGAU
rnacentral:lncRNA from 1 species